CUCUCUCUGUGUAGGUGUGCACCACACUCCUGGCCAGGUGGAGGGGGUGGGGGUGUCUGAGCCCAGGGAAGGUGUGGAUGCAGCUCUGGGGGUCAGUGGGGAGCACAGCCACAGCCACGAGCACCUCCAUGCCUACAUCGGGGUUUCUCUGGUCCUGGGGUUCGUCUUCAUGCUGCUGGUCGACCAGAUCGGAAGCGCCCACGUACACAGCAGUGCUGACGAUCCAGAGUCUGCGAGGGUUGCCAGCUCCAAGAUCACCACCACCUUGGGACUAGUGGUCCAUGCAGCAGCUGACGGAGUGGCUCUCGGGGCAGCGGCUUCCACUUCCCAGACCAGUGUUCAGCUCAUUGUCUUUGUGGCCAUCAUGCUUCACAAGG